CUGACAAGACUCGGGGGCCUACCAGCCUACCAACUCUUAUCAAACUCCGAAGCGACGGGCGUUUAGUCCGGGAGUGAGGCUGCGAGAGCUAACUUCCGUAGCCGAAAGGGAAACAACCCAGACCGCCAGCUAAGGUCCCCAAAUAUAGACUCAGUGGUUAAGGAUGUGUCGUCGCACUGACAGCCAGGAGGUUGGCUUAGAAGCAGC
rnacentral:rRNA from 13 species